UACAGAGGGUGCUAGCGUUGUUCGGAAUCAUUGGGCGUAAAGGGCGUGUAGGCGGUUUGUUAAGUCAUGUGUGAAAUCCCUCGGCUCAACCGGGGAAGGACGCAUGAAACUGGCAAGCUAGAGUACCAAAGAGGGGGGUGGAAUUCCCGGUGUAGCGGUGAAAUGCGCAGAUAUCAGGAGGAACACCAAUUGCGAAGGCAGCUCGCUGGGACGUUACUGACGCUGAGACGCGAAAGCGUGGGGAGCAAACAGG
rnacentral:rRNA from 1 species